rnacentral:misc_RNA from 1 species
CUCUUGUCCGUACCGGCCACCGCCCCAGCCUGUCGAUCUCAUCUCCCUGUGAUUUUUUAUCAGCCGUCGGGGGGAGAAAAAUCUUCCCUGUUCUUAUCCCCCGUCGCCCUGCUCAGAUUUUCCAGCCACCGCUGUACUGAUAUUUUGGCGCGCGAUGCCUAUUCCUUGCGCGCUCCUCUCUGCCGAGCGGCUUCUUCACGCGUGUCUCUCUCUCCCUGGUGCCUGCUCGCGACAAGCUCCUGCUCCCUUCCGUGGUCGCGUGCUCAGCUCUUCUGCAGGCCGCGCCCAGCUUCUCACCCUCGGCGCUCACAGCUCUCUCUCUCCCCUAGUCCCUGCCAUGGCCGCCGUUCCCUGAUCGGAGUUUGUUCUAGCUCGGAUCUCCUCCCUACGGCGCCCGAGCUCCAUGGCUGCUGCGUUCUUCAGCCGACGCGUCCUGCCGAGUCCCUCUCCAUCCCCACGGCGUCCAGCCAUGGCGCCCCAGCUCGCGGCGUCCCUAUUUUUUUUCCUAUCGUCGGCGCUCUGCUCGCUCUCUGGUCUUCCUGCGCGCUCUCCACUCGGCUUCUGCUUAUUCCAAUGCCGCGCAUGGUGCUUCGGCUAGCCGUGGCCGCGCGCUGUGAAGCUCCCAGCGUCGCGUCCCCGAGCUCCCAACCAUGGCGCUUCUUCCAGCCGCGCCGUCGCCUUGCUACUCGCCCAUCCUUGCGGCAUUUCGUCCAUGGCCGCUGUCCCCCGUCGAGUCCCUGCGCGCGCAGCUGCAGCUCGGAUUGGUCCCUGAUUUACUGUACUGUGAAGUCUCUGCGCUCCGUGCGUGUCGCUCGCCGAGUUGCUGCCUGGUGUCGCGCCUAUUGCUUCUCUGCGCGCGAGCUCUUCUACUGGCGUCCCUGCUCGCCUCACUUUCCAUGGACGAGCGCUCGUUUCGCCGUUGCUCUAGCUGCCGCGCUGCGCUGUUCUUAGUCGUCCGGCACUGUGUGCUUCAGUGGAUGUUCGUCGAGUCCCCUGCGUCACGUCCUGUUCUUUGCGCGCGCAAGCUAUCUGUUGGCCGCGCGCGAAGCUAUCUUUUCGUCGUCAUCACGUCGUCGACUCCGUCGGUUAGCGUCGUCGCGUCGCGGGUGCAGCUCUAUAUACGUCACCCCCUGUGUCGUCGUCGUUCCACGUGUCAGCAAGAAAUCUCAAGCGUCGGGUGAAGACGGAGCCAGCAGCGUGAUAUUCAUCGAGUGCGCGACAAAAAAGUUCGUGUGACACCUGCCAAGCGCUCGCCAAAUUGUUGGAAUCGGAAAAUCACUACCGAUCUCGCGGAUUCAAGUCAUAUAUUAGAACGGUACGUUAAAUAAUCACGUGAUGCGAAGGACCAAAGCUGAGUCGACCCCAAGAUGCUGUUAAGCGUGGGCUAAUCCGCAUGGUGAUGCUGAUGGACAUAUGAAGCAAGUAACAGAACAAAAGAUGGUCGCCAAGUGAUCGUCGUCUAACAACACUAACCUAGUGUUACCCAGGCAAGCCCCGGUGCAUGCAACCCCUUCCUUGUGUUUUUAAAUAAUUUUUGCACACUUUAAGUCUAGUGAAAUGUGCAUUAGGUUUAUAGGA